UCUCAUUAUAUAAUUUUUGGACAAUCUUCACCUCAUAAAGUAGUUUUUGGGUUAAAUCAGGUUUAAAAUCUAUUUCUUUAUCAAUGUUAGAACCAUUAAAUGACGACGACAACAACAUAUCUAGGUAAUCCCAUAAGUCUAUUUCUUUAUCAAUGUAAGAACCACUAAAUGACUAUUUCACCAAAUAUCGACUUUACUAUAUUGGUGAUGUUCGAAGCAAUUUACACCUCGAUUAUUUCACCAGAAACUAACUACUCACUCACACCAGUAGUGAUGAUCUCACAGCACAAAGCAAAAACAAAGAAAAGAACACGUAGCAAAGUUUUAGGUACAAUAAUUGAAUAACUCAGAUUCGAAAUAUUAGAAAAAUAGUUGAACUUUAGAAUAUUGGAAAUUUAGACGAAGGAGAAAUAAGGAAACUUAA